ensembl:lincRNA
GGUAAAUAUACCUUAUCAUGUACAAACACCCCCAGUUUGGUCUGGGCAGCAUCCUGUGAUAAAGCGAACUGAUAUUUCAGCCGAGGAACGUAUGAAAAUUCACACUGACUGUGAUCCAUGAGGAUCCAAAAUAGCCUCAAGUCAAUUCAGGGCAGGUUGUGUUGCUAAAUGAGGUUAGGUCCGGCCAGGCUUUGGUAUCAAAUGAGUUAUAAAAAGUCUUUCAUUUAUCAAACCUCUUUGGACUUCCAGACUGGCGCAGAAGGGAGUGACCCUGCGUGCUUCCUGCAAUGACCAACGUGCUUCUCCGCCUCGACCCUGAGCGGAGACGGGACAAUAGAUUCCCUCAAAGCCAGCAGGACCACUGCAUGAAGAAGGUGACGGAACACAGAUGGCGUCAGACAUGUGCCAAACGUCCCCUGCAGAGGGUGAUUAUAACAACAAAUGCACGUGGAGAAAACCUCUAUUUGGUCUUGCAGCUCAGAAUAGGAUUUUUCAUUUUCUUGAGGAAUUGGCCCCUUUGCUGUGAUGAAAGGUCCCUGUUUAUCCUUGAUAAUAUUUUAUCCCUGAUAAUAUUCCUUCUUGUGGAAUCUACCUUGUCUGCUUUUAAAGAGCUGUUCUAGUAGCCUCCAAGGUGGUUUCCAAGGAUCCCCACCACCGGUAUAGACACUCUUUAUGGUCCUCUCUCCCACUGUACCACAGUGGGUCUGUGUGGCUAAUAAAAUAUGGGAGAAGUAAAGUUAUUUCCCUUCUGGGAUUACAUGAUAAAAGUCUGUGACUUCUGUCCUAGCCGUCUCUCUUACUCUCUCUCAGAACACCUCCUCUGAGGGAAGUCAGGACAGGAGCAGCCCUGUGGAGAAUCCAAGCAGCGAGGUGCGGAAGCCUUCUUCCAGUCACCAGGUAGGUGGGUUCUGGAUGCAAAGUCUCCAGACCCAGCCAAACCUGACACCUAGACUGAGGGAGACCAUGAACAAGAACACCCCGCUAAGCCACCCUGAAAUUCCUGAUACACAAAAACUAGGAGAUAAUACAUGUUUAUUGUUUCAAACAGCUCCAUUUGGGAUAAUUUGUUACACAGCAAUGGGUAACUUAUACACUCAGCUUUCCUUUGAUUUGUAUUUCUGUAGUGUUUUUGAAGGUCCUGAGAAUGCCCUCAAGUUUGAUGAUUGGCCAGAAGGACUCACAAGACUGAAGAGAAGGUUAUAGAUAACUGAGUAAAGCAGCAAAGAUAUUUUCACUGGGCAGAGUUCAGACACAGUCAGAAUGGGCUUUGGAACCUUUCAUCAGAGGCCACACAUGACGUGCUUUCUCUCCAACGGUGACUGAUAAGAACAUGUAUGGUAUGUGUCUACACAGGGAAUCCUGCUGGAGCCUCGGGGUCCAAAGUUUUUCUGGUGUGCUGGUCACAUGAGCAUAUCUUGCUGUGCAACCAGCUGUGGCAACUGAAACUCAAGACCUCCACAGUGAAACUAGGUGCAUCACUUAAUUUUGAUAUUUGUGCAGAGAAACUUGACAAGCUAGUCCAGUCCUGCCCAUUUUUCCACGUAUACUCAAAUAAAAUCGUCAUCUGACACCUAAGGGCCUGUAUCCCCAGUGGUUGGCCAAGGGUCAUUCAUGGUUCCAGAUUCUUCUGGAGAUAUGCAAGGAAUAAACAACUAGAGCAGUUUUGUUAACCCUUUCCUUUCCACUAAGGUGGCCCACGUCAGUUAGCAUCAACUUCUAAAUAUGUUGAUGAAUGAGUCUUCAGAAAAUUCUAGCCUCUAAUCUUCCAGCUUAGGCCCCCAAAAUUGUGAAGCAGAAACAAGCAUUCCCCUCUAUGCUCUUGCAGAAUUCCUGAUUCACAAAAAAUUAUAACAAGUAAUAAAUGACUAUUGUUUGAAACCACCAAGUUUGGAGGAAGUAUGUUAUACAGCAAUAGACAAAUAACACAGGGUAAUAUUUUCUUGUUUCUUUGCAAACUGGCAUUUUAAAAAAAAGGAUUUAGCUUAUUUAUUUGAGAGAGAGAGAGAGAGAGAGCACAAGCAGAGGGAGGGGCAGAGGGAGAAGGAAAAGAAGAUUCCCUCCCCAUUGAGUGGGGACCCCACAAAUCUGGCCAUUUUUUAUUGGACACCCAAUGCAAAAUUUAUGUUUCGGGACACUGGAUUUUGUUGUAUUUCAGUAAAUAGUGUUAGAUUUAGUUCAU